rnacentral:rRNA from 1 species
UACGUAGGUGGCAAGCGUUGUCCGGAAUGAUUGGGCGUAAAGGGCGCGCAGGCGGCUGUGUAAGUCUGUCCAGAAAGUGCGGGGCUAAACCCCGUGAGAGGAUGGAAACUGGACAGCUGAGAGUGUCGGAGAGGAAAGCGGAAUUCCUAGUGUAGCGGUGAAAUGCGUAGAUAUUAGGAGGAACACCGGUGGCGAAGGCGGCUUUCUGGACGACAACUGACGCUGAGGCGCGAAAGCCAGGGGAGCAAACGGG